UUUCUAGGAUUGCAAUCUCUGGAGAAGCACAUACCAGCUGCUUCUCUGCUGCUGGUGAUAUAGUUUUAAGACUUGAAAGACAAGAUGCCAUGCUUUCCCACACUGAGCCCACUUCUCUAGGUGGUCAACUUGAGGCCUGCAUAUCACAUCAAGAGAGGGAACUUAAGGGUAAGUAUGAUGUUUCCUGGAAUAUAAUGAAGAAAUAUUAUUCUUACUACACUGGCUAGUAAUAAUGUGUACGUAAUUUCUAAUCACUUCAUUCAAAUUUUGAAGCAGAUCUUAUAACAGCUACUAACAGUAUUGUUGCUUCCCUAUUUCAGAUUCCAAGCUCAUCUUCCGUGGGACUCACAGUGGCAGGAAGGAAAGCCACCCAUCCACAGGAAACAAGCAUCAUUGGUGAAAAGCUAAUUCAUCUUACACAAUGCUAGCAGGAAGGUGCCACUUUAAUUGCCAUGGCUAUAUCCUGUGAAAUCCGAAGGCCUGUACCUUGGGAAGCCAUUGGAAGAGCUCUCUGGCAGGAGGCUGUUCAGGUCCUGAACCGGUGCUUGGCCGCUGUAACAGACUGGAUGAGGGACAACAGAUUGAAACUAAAUCCAGACAAGACAGAGGUACUCCUGGUCAGUUGAAAGGCCGA